CCUACGGGAGGCUGCAGUGGGGAAUAUUGGACAAUGGGCGAAAGCCUGAUCCAGCCAUGCCGCGUGGAUGAUGAAGGCCCUAGGGUUGUAAAAUCCUUUCGGCAGGGAAGAUAAUGACGGUACCUGCUAAAGAAGCCCCGGCUAACUCCGUGCCAGCAGCCGCGGUAAGACGAACCGUCCAAACGUUAUUCGGUAUCACUGGGCUUAAAGCGUGCGUAGGCGGCUUGGUAGGUGUGAUGUGAAAGCCCACGGCUCAACCGUGGAAUUGCGUCGCAAACCCCCAAGCUUGAGGAAGACAGGGGUGUUGGGAACUUAUGGUGGAGCGGUGAAAUGCGUUGAUAUCAUAGGGAACACCGGUGGCGAAGGCGCAACACUGGGUCUUUACUGACGCUGAGGCACGAAAGCUAGGGUAGCGAACGGGAUUAGAUACCCU
rnacentral:rRNA from 1 species